ensembl:lncRNA novel transcript
AAGUCCUACUGAGUCAAGGUGGGAGCAGGGUCGGUAGCUUCCGAGGCUCUGCGGGAGAAUCCGUUUCCUGGCCGUAGAGGUGGCCUGCACUCCGCAGCUUGUGCUGCCCGUCUCGAAUGACUGGAGUUUCCUGCUUCUGUCACUACACCUCCCACCCUCUCCAUCACCUGCUCUGCUCUUACAAGGAUCCGAAGAAAUGGAAUCAUCGUAUCGCUGAUCUACGUAAACAAACUGAAGAAUUGUCUGAAAGAAAAUAUGGUAUGUCUAAACUGGAAAAGUCUUGUAAUCUUAGGUUCAUGGGCGUUUACACAGUGGAGUUACUGUUCAUCAUGGGGGUACCGUGGACAAUCCCAGGGCUGCCGGCGAGUCAUGCCAUCCUUACAUGUUUCUCCUUGUAAGGUGCUUUGUAGUGUCUACACACUUUGUUUCUAGAUUGCUGCAAAGCUGAGGAAAAGUUGUAUUUCUUUAGUUAUUAGUUAGCAUUUCUUUUAAACUUUCAGUAUGGAGAUUGGAAAUUUAUUUACAUAUUUAUUGCAAAGCCCUGGAUCUUAGGAAUUUCAUUGAAUUAUUUAUUUAUUUUUUUUGAGACGGAGCCUCACUCUGUCGCCCAGGCUGGAGUGCAGUGGCACGAUCUCGGCUCACUGCAACCUCCGCCUCCCGGGUUCAAGCAGUUCUCUGCCUCAGCCUCCCGAGCAGCUAGGAUUACAGGCACCAGCCACCACGCCUGGCUGAUUUUUGUAUUUUUAGUAGAGACGGGGUUUCAUGAUCUUGGCUAGGCUGGUCUUGAACUGCUGACCUCCUGAUCCACUCACCUCAGCCUCCCAAAGUGCUGGGAUUAUAGGUGUGAGCCACCAUGCCUGGCCAAAUAUUAUUUUUUUAAAUGAAUUGUUUCUCUUAGUCUGCUUUGUUAAAUUUGGAAUUCAUCUGGGCGUGGUGGCUCACACCUGUAAUCCCAGCACUUUGGGAGGCCAAGGCAGGCAGAUAUCUAGGUCGGGAGUUCGAGACCAGCCUGACCAACAUGGAGAAACCCCGUCUCUACUAAAAAUACAAAAUUAGACGGGUGUGGUGGCGCAUGUCUGUAAUCCCAGCUAUUCGGGAGGCCAAGGCAGGAGAAUCGCUUGAACCCAGGAGGCAGAGGUUGCAGUGAGGCGAGGUUGGCACCAUUGCACUGUAGCCUGGGCAAAAAGAGCAAAACUCCAUCUCAAAAUAAAUAAAUAAAUAAAAUGUUC